GGCGGCGUGCUAUAAUGCAAGUCGAGCGGACAGAAGGGAGCUUGCUCCCGGAUGUUAGCGGCGGACGGGUGAGUAACACGUGGGUAACCUGCCUGUAAGACUGGGAUAACUCCGGGAAACCGGAGCUAAUACCGGAUAGUUCCUUGAACCGCAUGGUUCAAGGAUGAAAGACGGUUUCGGCUGUCACUUACAGAUGGACCCGCGGCGCAUUAGCUAGUUGGUGAGGUAACGGCUCACCAAGGCGACGAUGCGUAGCCGACCUGAGAGGGUGAUCGGCCACACUGGGACUGAGACACGGCCCAGACUCCUACGGGAGGCAGCAGUAGGGAAUCUUCCGCAAUGGACGAAAGUCUGACGGAGCAACGCCGCGUGAGUGAUGAAGGUUUUCGGAUCGUAAAGCUCUGUUGUUAGGGAAGAACAAGUGCAAGAGUAACUGCUUGCACCUUGACGGUACCUAACCAGAAAGCCACGGCUAACUACGUGCCAGCAGCCGCGGUAAUACGUAGGUGGCAAGCGUUGUCCGGAAUUAUUGGGCGUAAAGGGCUCGCAGGCGGUUUCUUAAGUCUGAUGUGAAAGCCCCCGGCUCAACCGGGGAGGGUCAUUGGAAACUGGGAAACUUGAGUGCAGAAGAGGAGAGUGGAAUUCCACGUGUAGCGGUGAAAUGCGUAGAGAUGUGGAGGAACACCAGUGGCGAAGGCGACUCUCUGGUCUGUAACUGACGCUGAGGAGCGAAAGCGUGGGGAGCGAACAGGAUUAGAUACCCUGGUAGUCCACGCCGUAAACGAUGAGUGCUAAGUGUUAGGGGGUUUCCGCCCCUUAGUGCUGCAGCUAACGCAUUAAGCACUCCGCCUGGGGAGUACGGUCGCAAGACUGAAACUCAAAGGAAUUGACGGGGGCCCGCACAAGCGGUGGAACAUGUGGUUUAAUUCGAAGCAACGCGAAGAACCUUACCAGGUCUUGACUCCUCUGACACCCUAAAGAUAGGGUUUCCUUUGGGACAGAAGG
rnacentral:rRNA from 1 species